GAUUCCAGCCAGCCUCCAGUCAGAAGUCUCCGUUGUGUGGACUUGGAGGUACGUUUUGGUAUCUCAGGGAGCACAGCACCAGCCCACCGGGCCGGCCAAGGGUGCUGCAGUGCCGCACAGUGGUCUGCCUGUGGCUGCAGCUGUUUGCAGGAGACCAGCGUUAGAACCCACGCUGCACACUUGAGGUGGUGGUGAACACCACAGAGGUGCGAAGCCAGGUCCGGCCUAGUGCUGCCCUGGAAACCCAGGCAGCAUCGUUUUCACGGCAGGAGAACAGGUGCACUGAUGAAUCGAGUAUCUACCACUGUCCUGCAGCUCCCGACUGCUGAGUGUGUCACGGUGGCGAGGCUGCCUGCCAGGUGGAAGCACCGAAACACGGCUCCCAGAUGCAAACUGCAGGACUCCGAAGCUCCGGAGAGCCUGGUGCAGUUCCCACACUAAAUGGCCGUAACCAGAGGGUCAGCUCUCAGGGACCUGGCAGUGAGCUUGGGAAAGAGAGGCAUUCGCAAAACCACAACACAUUGACUUUUAAAUGGAAAACUCCAAAUUUAUUCCAAUUUCCAUGCGGGAUCAUCCUGAAAGACAGCGUAGCUGCAAUUUGGGAAAUAUGAUGCCUCAGAGGACCCUGUCCAGCAUAUUGCAGAAUGAAUCCUGAGUGGUUUUGAAUUCGGUCAUCAAGUCCUAAAAAUUCACGGAAUUAAUGGCUCAGCCAAAUCACAGUUCGCAAGCUCAGCGCUCUCUUCCUGCUGAAGCGAGCAGUGUGUGGACACCUCACAAAGGUCCAGGAGAGGCAGCCAGCGCUAACCUCCCGCAAGCAGGUUCUCCAUGGCUGCCUCCUCCUUCCCUCCAUCGCAGAUGGCCCUGACCGUGGUCAGCACGGCUGAACUGGCCUUGGAGAGGGAGUGGGGGCCUCACUGCCAGACCCUGGAGCCAGGGCUCCACGGGAACAACGCGGUGCUGCGUGGCCGGGAAGAUGGCCGAGGUCAGUGGCGACCAAUGACCUCACUGGACCCCCGGCUGGCACCUGGCCUCACCUAGCUGCACACAGCCUCCCGGCCACUCUCAAGUGUCUGCCCGCCUCUCUGGACGCAUGCACAAGCUUCCUCCACCCUGAGAGCUGGGAAGGCUCCUGCCUUGGGCUCGUGUCACAGCUCAGAUGUCAGCAGCCCUGGGACUUCAGGGACCCUGAGUCCUCCUGAACCUCCAUUCUCUCCUCUCCACAACAGAGGCCAAGUGCUGCUGCCUUGCUUAGUUUUCGCCAGGGUUAAAUGAGAACACACAGGAGGUGGUGGUUGUUAUUAUUGGCCUAAAAACAGCCAUUUCCUGGCAAAUAAAUGGGGAGAACAUAAACGUCUGGGAGCCUCAGACCAAGCCGGGUCCUUCCUGCCCUCCCCAGUGCUCUCAUGCCACCUUGCUUUGGUUUCCGUGGAAUGUCAGAACCCUGGGUUCUGGGGCUGCUUCUGCCACUCUUCAGUCUUGAGGGAAGCAUUUCCUAAACUGGAGGCCACAUUCUGGGGAUGAGGGGCCCAGCAGGCGUCUACCCGGAGCUGUGCUGGGGCUGGGAGCCCGCAGACCCCACUGUCCACCCUGAGCAGGGAGUCCCAGUCCAAACCCUGAAAGUCAGGAAAUGCCUCAGUGCCUCCUCUUCCAGAGGCUGUUUGGCCUCAACGUGCGCCCUGGGUCCUGGUUCCCUGGCCACGCUCUGCCCCCACCCUGCAGGCUCCCACAGGCCAAGCCCCUGCUGAAGCGCCAAGUGAGGGGAAGCUGGCCGUGCCUCCUCUUCCUCUGCCCCCAGGCUGCCGCUCGGUGCUGCUCACGGCUGGCCUCGGAGCUGGGCUGCCCGCCACAGGGCCUGGGCGGCACCUUCUCCCCACCCGCAGUUCUCUGCAGCCAAGGACAGGAGUAGCUGAGAAAUCAACUGGAGGUGCGAGUGAUGAGCCCUGAUACGCACACGUGGAGGAUGAUUUCUGGAAGACAACCAUUUGGGGAGAAGGAUGCUCAAGCGGCCCCAGCAGCCAUGGCAUGGAAGGGGGGAGAGGACCUGCCUCUGUCCCAGCCACCACCGCCUGCCUCCUCCACUGUCCGUGCUUGGUUACUGCCUCUGUGGAGCUCUUCAUCCCGGAAGCUCCUCCCCGUUUUUCGUCCUCAGAGGACCCCCUGCAAUGUCAGUGUCAACCUUCUCUGAGAACCCUUCCUACUGCUGACAUCCCUCUUUCUGGCUGGGCAGUCUUAUGUCCUCGCUGGCCUGAGACUUCUCCGGUGCGUGCACACCAGGGUAGGACUGCCUUGGAGACCCAGGUCUGCUGUGCUGUAGCUCCAUGAACUUUCUGUGUUGGGCACCAGUCACCUCCUCCUGUUGUAAGCGCCUGCCACACAGCAGUGCCUGCAAACGUUGCCAGCCCAAGAAGUCCUGCCUUGCGAGAGACCUUGAACGAUGCCUUCAGUGUGGGUAGAGUGUACCACACCAUCCAGGUCUUUCAUUUCACGACAGAAAUGGGAGCAGGCCGGGCCUGGUGGCACAUGCCUGUAAUCCCAGCACUCAGGAGGCUGAGGCAAGCAGAUCAUGCAAGUUCAAGCCUGGGCUACAUAGUGAGCUCAAGGCCAGCCUGAACUACAUAGCGACACCCUGUCUGAAAAAUCCAAACAAAACCAAAAAACCAAAAAAGAGAUGGAAGCAGAUGCAUCACACGCAGUCUCAGUUCCUUGGGUCCUGCCUGUCUUCCGGAAGCAGAGCUCAUCAUCAGAGGGAGAACUCAGUCUAGAGUUUUGGUUUUCUGUUACUCAAGAAGCAGUUGCUUUCUAGGAAUCAGAGGCCAACCAGGGAUGGCCUUCUGGAGCAGUGGUAAAGAAAUGACAGGGUAGAGAAUCCCCCCAGCGGAGCUUUUCCAGUUAAAUGUCCAGGGUGGACGGGCUGGGAAUUCCCCGGGAGUCUGCCUGGGGCCUCUGGAGUGAGCCUGUUCCCAGCACGCCGUGUGGGUGCUUCACACCUGAGGCUUCUGCCGCAGGCCGCCUGACUCGGGCCGGUUGGGACGAGGGUCCUGCAUCCAGGGGGAUGCACGCGGAGUAGACUGCAGCUCUUCAGGGCCUCGCUCCGUGGAGUCGUCAGCCCACGGGGGUGUGGAAGAGGGCCUGAGCAGGAAGGCUGUGAGGGCCCACGAGGGAAACUGGGGGCACUGAGCACAGAGCUGGCUUGGACGCUGCAGGCUUGGAGGGCUGUGGGGAGGGGACGCCACAGGCAGGAAGAGUCCGGGUGGGCCCCAGACCGGCAGAAGAGCAGGGGCCACCCAGGGCCAGCUGGAGGCCAGUAGGCGCCAGUGGAGGGGGGGGGGUGACAGGGAGGCCAGCUGAAGCCAGACCUCAGGGCCCGCCACGGCAGGCCGCAGGUAGGAGCAGGCCUGCCUUGCGUCUGAAGCCGGGCUGUGUCCUGAGGAAGCAGAGGGAGCAGAGGGUCUUCCCCUGGGGCAGAGAGGAUGUGAAGGUGGCCGUGGGCCUGGGAGGCCACUGGCCGCGGUGUGCAGAUCCGCUGCUGACCAUGGUGGCAAGGGAUGGGCUCAGAGGCGGCUGAGAGGGCCCUGCGGUCAGGACAGGGAUGUCAGAGGACAAGCACGUCUGGGCAGGAGGGCCCAAGACUGGUGCCAGAGGCUUGGAGCAGUCACACACACUUCCUCUUCGCACACGCGUGUGUUCCUGCACGUUCAGCUUUCGAGGGAGUGAUCUGGUGUCCACAGCCACCUGGGAGCAGCGGCCCCACCUGCAUUCGGUAAACACUCCACACCCACAGGGCGGGCGCUCCCAGGGCAGGGAGAAGGAAAGCCAGGAGGCAGAGUGUGCGUCGCCCCCACUUUGUAGACAGACUCCCGAAGGAAAAGCCUGGAGCUGGAGUGCAGGGAGCCCGGCUGAGGGCCUGGGCUGCAGCCAGGUUCGGAACGGGGACGGAGAAGUCGCUAUUCUGUCACUGCCGACUGCUCAUGAGUGGGGCCCCAGCUGCUGAGGGGGAGGCAGAGGAAGACCCCUCCCUAGCUCCAUGCCCAGCCUCUUGCAGGUCAGCCUAGGUCUUGCGGCCUGGGACGCCACCCAACUCUUCCCAGAAUCUCCUGCUGGCCCGAGGGGCUUGCCCAAGGCUUCCCUAAGUGUGUGCCAGGUGCUUCUCAAGAGGUCUGGCCCAUAUGAUCCUCUGGUCUCCCUGCAUUGCCCUGGUGCCUCAGUGGCUUGAAAGGCCUUCGAUACAGCUCUCAGGCUGGCAUGGAAAGAAAACUCCUCCCAAGUCUAGGAGGCGUAGCAUGACCCAUGGGGAGUACAGCAGCGCUUCUUUGAGGCUGGGCCUGGUGGCACAUGCCUGCAGCCCAUGACUGGGGCAGGAGAAUCCCAAGUUCCAACCCAGUAUAUGCAACCUAGCCAAAGUGUCUCAAAAUAAAAAAUAAAAUGGGCUGGUGAUGUACUUCAGUGCAAAGGCCCUGGGUUCUGUCUCCAGUACUAAAAACACACACACAGGCAGGCGCACACACACACACGCACACGAUAGUGCUUCUCCAUGGACAGAGCAGACUAGGAGGUAGAGACUGGCAGAAGAAGGAAACAGAGGCCAUCAACUAAGGCCUUUGCCUGAGCCAAAACGACCGCGCUUGAACGUCAUGCUGGCCGGCGUUCCUGGAGUGACUUCUCCAGGUAGGUGACGACAGUCAGAGGGCUAUUGUCCAAGCUGCACUCCCAGCUGUGGGCCUGGGGCAGGGCUCCCAGGGCCUGUGGGUAUCAGAGCCAGGCCUGCCCCAAACUUUCCCAGUGCGACUCCCCAGCUCCCUUCAGAGCGGGGGUAGCACUGUGGCCAGGGGUGAGCGUGGGCUUGCAGAAGCCCCAGAAACGUGUCCUGGGACAUGCAGGGCCACGCCGCUCCCCCUCAGGUAACUUCCUGUUCUCCGGCACAGGUGCAGGAAGGAGGCUCCUGCUGUGUGCUCCGGACUCGGGGUGCAGGAGGGCAGUGCAGGGGUGAGGGACGACCUGCCCUUGACCGGUGCCUGCAUCCUACGGCAGCUCAUCCCCGAGCUCCUCUGAGAGGCAGAUGGGGACACAGCCCGCUCAGGAGGGCGUGGGUCUCUGUGGCCUCCAGGGCAGAGCCCCAGACUGUAGUCGGGCCCAAGGGUCUGAACUUUCCAUCCCUGUGCGUCUCUCUGACUGACUGUGCCAUCGCUCACCAUGGUAACCAGCAGACUGAGACUGGGAUGGCACUGUCCUUGGCUCUGGACAGCAGGGGCCCCAGGCUCUGGCAGACGUCCCCACCUCCACCUGUGUCCUGAGGAAGGGGCCGUUCAUGACACACGGGUCAGGCCGGGCUGUCUAGGAGGUGAGGGACAACAGAUGUCCAUCCAUAGCCUCCUCCAAGCUCCAGGGAGGGCCGAGCAGAGACCUCAUCCCUGAGGCUGGUCCUGACUCCACCCCUGGGGCCGCCCUGUCACAGCCUGAACAGGACCGCCACUUUGCUGGGCAGGAAGCUGAGGCUCAGGGAGGGAAAGUGAUUCUCUCCGGCUGCAGUUAGCGGGUGUCUGGCUGGACCCCAGAGCCCGGCUCUGUCCUGACCAGCGAGGUCCAUGUCCCAGUUCCAGCUUGGUGAUCUGAACUCCUCUGAGCCAGCUGCAUGGAGAGCCUGUCCAUGCCCCCUCCCACGCUUCCCACACAGGCCAGGCUUGCAGCCCUCAGCCCUUGACUCCCUGCCAGUCUCCUCCCUGCCCUUUCUGGGACAUUCCCAAUCCACUCCUUGGAGGCUUCUCUUGAGUCCGGGAAAUCCACAGGAUACAGCUGAGCUGGGUGGCCAGACCCCGGCUGUGUCCCGAGAGAACAAAGUGGGACUUUCCCUGGACCCCACGUGCACGGGUCUUUUCCUCCCAGCAGGCUCUGCAUGGGUCGGGGCUGUUGCUGCCCAUGUCCACCCCUCCUCCGGGAGCCUCUCAAGGCCAGGACCAGCGUCAGGCUGUCUGUGGGCGGUGAACUUCCUGGGCUGAAGUGACAGGGCUUCCCCGACUCCUGCUGAUGAGAUCAUCUGCUGUUCCAGCCAGGGCUGAAAGGUCAACAGGCACAACAGAGCCGGCCCAGGAGAAGCCCUGCAUGACUCACCGAGGGCCCAUGCUGGGGGCUUCCGGCCCUGGCGACACCAGACACAGAGCCACUGUUAGCUCCGAGAGUCCUGCUCACAGCUCAAGCGGAGAAGGAGCUCGGGGAAGAUGAGGCACCAAGAGUAGACCCAGACCAGCCACGGAGUGCCCAGCUCAGCCCUGCAUGCACCGGGCUCUGCACAUGCUCCCUCCACCGCCUCUCGCCCUCUUUGCUUUGUGUGGUGCUGAGGUUUUAACCCAGGCCUUUGAACUGA